GCCUCCGUGACGCAAUUGGUUAGCGCGUUCGGCUGUUAACCGAAAGGUUGGUGGUUCAAGCUCACCCGGGGGCG
rfam:Strongyloides ratti strain ED321 Heterogonic genome assembly, scaffold: srae_scaffold0000003